rnacentral:tRNA from 4 species
GGGCCUGUAGCCUAGUCUGGAUAAGGCGAUUGCCUUCUAAGCAAUAGAUCGGGGGUUCAAAUCCCUCCAGGCCCA